GACGAACGCUGGCGGCGUGCUUAACACAUGCAAGUCGAACGGAAAGGCCCUGCUUUUGUGGGGUGCUCGAGUGGCGAACGGGUGAGUAACACGUGAGUAACCUGCCCUUGACUUUGGGAUAACUUCAGGAAACUGGGGCUAAUACCGGAUAGGAGCUCCCGCUGCAUGGUGGGGGUUGGAAAGUUUCGGCGGUUGGGGAUGGACUCGCGGCUUAUCAGCUUGUUGGUGGGGUAGUGGCUUACCAAGGCUUUGACGGGUAGCCGGCCUGAGAGGGUGACCGGCCACAUUGGGACUGAGAGACGGCCCAGACUCCUACGGGAGGCAGCAGUGGGGAAUAUUGCACAAUGGGCGGAAGCCUGAUGCAGCAACGCCGCGUGCGGGAUGACGGCCUUCGGGUUGUAAACCGCUUUCGCCUGUGACGAAGCGUGAGUGACGGUAAUGGGUAAAGAAGCACCGGCUAACUACGUG
rnacentral:rRNA from 1 species